CACAUGCGAUAACGGUUAACAUUUUCCGCGCCGUUAGAGGUUGUCCGUGUCAACAGUUACAAAAACCCAACGGUUUAAUCAUUACCGCGUUCACAUGGCAGACUCCUCUAAUGCGGUUUACUGAUGGUUUAGCACUGUAGUGAACUCUAACCUCUGCCCGCUAACUCGAUCACAUGAGCUGCGGUUAGGGAUGGCGGUUUGACUGAUAUUUUUUUUGUUUAUAAUGUUUUAUAGGUUGAGAGGGUUUAGAGCUAGGGUUAGGACAUUAGAACUUUAGGUUUUGAAUGUGAUAGGUUUAGACUUAGGUAAUGUGGUUUGUCAAUGUAUUUUCAAUACACAAUGUUAUGUAUUAGGACUUUUAAUACAUGGUUUAGGUUAGGUAAUGGAUUUUGAAUACAUGGAUAAUGUAUUAGGGUUUAACAUAGGUUUGUUACAUGAUUUUGAUAUGUAGAAUAAGAUUUAGGGCUUAGACUUAGGAUAAGAGUGAAUUAGAAUUCUUAGGGUAAAUAAAGAUAAAUAGGAUAGCUUAGGAGUUAGGGUUUAGGUCUAGGCUUAGGUUUUAGGUUUCAUUUAACUUUCAAAGACCCAUGUCACCUCUGCACAGCGACAUCAGUGAAACUGAAGCCUUUACCAGACGAUCGACCCCAGCACAUCCUUGUGGUCUCCGUGUACCAUUUGUCAACGUUGCACAAUGACGACCAUCACAUAUUUGAAACUGACACUGGUGACGGUGACAAGACUAUGUCGUCAACCAGGUACUUUAACUCGAACCCUUUUACACAAUCAACUAUAUCAACCAUAAAUCCGGUAAAGUCGAACGACAAAACACAUGUUGUUGACCAAACCCUGGCAGAACUGUCGAUGACAUAAGUCGAAAACUAGGUAUAACAUCACAUCAACUGAAUGCCAUGAAACCAUAACAUUACCUGAACCUAAUCAUUACCAACAUUUUCAAUCUGUCGACACUGAACUGAAGCGAUAAUGACACUGAACGACACUGAUCGACACCCAUGAAUAUUGAUGACGUCACUUCAAACACUUGUGCAGUUGGAUCGAUGGAUCCUCCUGGAUCGUAGAGCCACAACCAAGAGCCGAGAGCCAGAGCCAGAGCCGAGAGCCAGAAGAGCUGAGAGCUUCAAGAGACAGGGAUAAAAUGGUGUCUAAACCCAUUGUUUCUGUGUAAAAUAGUGGGUUUGAGCCAAGAGCUUGUAAAGUACUUUUCCAGAAUCCCAGAGAGCCUAGUUGAGUUGGUUAGAGCUCAUGGAGACGUAGCCCAAGAGUUUUGGGUGAACUCCUAAUUAAAUUGUUGUAUUAUGUGUGUUGUUUUAUUGUUGCAUUAUAUCUACUGCUUUAGUUGUUGUCAUAUCAAUUCAAGCAAAUAGACUUAAAACCACAUAAACAUUCAACAAUAAACAUAAGCAUACACCUUAUCUUAAGCACAUAUUUAAUUUUGCAUUGGUUAAUCAUGAAGACUUGGGAAUAUUUGAAGCUUUGGAAGUGGGAGAGGUUCUUGCAAAUUAGACAAGAAGCCUAAGUGCCCCAUUUUCAGAUCAACCCUCGGUGACCCUUGAAAAUCUGGAGGGCUGAGUAUCGUUCAUGCUCGAUUGUACUCAUAACCGCAUCAGGUCUCCAAGCUGAACAUCCUUUGGUCAAUAGAACAAUGUAGGUAAGGGAAGUCGGCAAAAUGGAUCCGUAACUUCAGGAAAAGGAUUGGCUCUGAGGGUUGGGCCUAGGGCUCUACGCCCUCAACUCAUGGGUUAUCAGUAGUCUGCCCAAGCUACUCUCAUGGCGAGGAUGGACACUCACGUGUUGAUUGGGCUACAAGCAUAGAAUGUCCCCUACUAGGGGUUUUUCCCUAGGGGAAAAAGUCGACUUAGAACUAGUACAGACAUGGGGAAUCCGACUAUUGCUAGUGCUCUGAAUGUCAAAGUGAAUAAAUUCAACCAAGCACGGGUAAACAACAGGAGUAACUAUGAUUCUUGUAAGGUAGCGAAAUGCCUUGCUAUCUAAUUAGUGACACACAUGAAUGGAUUAACGAGAUUCACACUGUCCCUAUCUACUAUCUAGCGAAACCACAACCAAGGGAAUGGGAUUAGCAGAAUUAGCGGGGAAGGAAGACCCUAUUGAGCUUGACUCUAGUCUGAAUUUGUGAAAUGACAUGAGAGGUGUAGACUAAGUGGGAGUCAUUUUCAAUGCAAGUGAAAUACCGCUACUUUUAACAUUAUUUUACUUAUUCUGUGGCCAGAGAUGGGGCACUGCCCCUUUUUCUGGCCUUAAGGCACGUUUCGAUGGGUAAUCCAAGCAGAAGACAUUGUCAAGUGAGGAUUUUGGUUGGGGCGACACAUUUGUUAAAAGAUAGUGCAGGUGUCUUAAGAUGAGCUCAACGAGAACAUAAAUCUCAUGUGGAACAAAAGGGUAAAAGCUCAUUUGAUUUUGAUUUUAGUACUAAUACAAAUCUUGAAAGCGUGGCCUAUCGAUCCUUUAGAAUUUCAUAAUUUGAAGCUAGAGGUGUCAUAAAAUUUACCAUAGGGAUAAGUGGAUUGUGGUAGCCAAGCAUUCAUAGCGACAUUUCAUUUGAUACUUCGAUGUCGGCUCUUCCUAUCAUUGUGAAACAGAAUUCACCAUGUGUUGGAUUGUUCACUCGCCAAUAGGGAACGUGAGUUGGGUUUCGAUUGUCGUGAGUCAGGUUAGUUUUACCCUACUGAUGAGCCACAUCACAAUAGUAAUUAAACUUAGUACAAGAGGAACCAUUGAUUCACAUAAUUGGUCAUCGUGCUUGGUUGAAAAUCCAGUGGUGCGAAGCUACCAUGUGUUGGAUUAUGAUUGAAUUCCUCUAAGUCAGAAUCAAUGCUAGAAGUGGUGCAUGGUACUCUUCUAUACCUCUAGUAAGGGUUUCGCUUUGUCGCCCCCAGGGGCCCGUGUCAUUUGCAAAUCAUGAUUGUGAAGCAUCAUGGUCAGGGCAGCUUUGACGUUCAAUUCCAAAUGAUCGUUGAGAAGAAU
rnacentral:rRNA from 1 species